GACGAACGCUGGCGGCGUGCUUAACACAUGCAAGUCGAACGGAAAGGCCCUGCUUUUGUGGGGUGCUCGAGUGGCGAACGGGUGAGUAACACGUGAGUAACCUGCCCUUGACUUUGGGAUAACUUCAGGAAACGGGGGCUAAUACCGGAUAGGAUCUCCUGCUGCAUGGGGGGGGUUGGUAAGUGUCGGCGGUUGGGGAUGGACGCGCGGCUUGUCAGCUUGUUGGUGGGGUAGUGGCUUACCAAGGCUUUGACGGGUAGCCGGCCUGAGAGGGUGACCGGCCACAUUGGGACUGAGAUGCGGCCCAGCCUCCUACGGGAGGCAGCAGUGGGGAAUAGUGCACUAUGGGCGGGAGCCUGAUGCAGCGACGCCGCGUGCGGGAUGACGGCCUUCGGGUUGUAAACCGCUUUCGCCUGUGACGAAGCGUGAGUGACGGUAAUGGGUAAAGAAGCACCGGCUAACUACGUG
rnacentral:rRNA from 1 species